rnacentral:rRNA from 1 species
AUUGAACGCUGGCGGUAUGCUUAACACAUGCAAGUCGAACGGCAGCACGGUCUGUAGCAAUACAGAUGGGUGGCGAGUGGCGGACGGGUGAGGAACACGUAGGAAUCUGCCUUUAAGAGGGGGACAACCGGAGGAAACUCCGGCUAAUACCGCAUAAUACUCUGAGGAGGAAAGGCUGGGGCAACCUGGCGCUUAAAGAGGAGCCUGCGUCCGAUUAGCUAGUUGGUAGGGUAAAGGCCUACCAAGGCGAUGAUCGGUAGCUGGUCUGAGAGGAUGAUCAGCCACACUGGGACUGAGACACGGCCCAGACCCCUACGGGAGGCAGCAGUGGGGAAUAUUGGACAAUGGGGGCAACCCUGAUCCAGCAAUACCGCGUGUGUGAAGAAGGCCUUCGGGUUGUAAAGCACUUUAGGUUGGGAAGAAGUUGCGUAGUUUAAGAGAUGAUGCAAUUGACGGUACCAACAGAAUAAGCACCGGCUAACUCUGUGCCAGCCGCCGCGGUAACAC